rnacentral:tmRNA from 1 species
GGGGCUGUUAUUGGCUUCGACGGAAAGUAUGAAUCUAUAGCUGCAAGUGGAAGGUACUCCUUACGUACAAACAAAAAAUAAAUAACAAAACAAAUAAUUAUGCUUUCGCAGCUUGUGCUGCCUAGUCUCUAAUAGAGGAAGCGCUUCUUUUUAAGUUUUACUCACGGAUUUUUAAAGAGGCUCAUUUAUAGUGAGUUAUACUAUUCUUUUUGUUUAGGGAAGAAUAAUGAAUAUUACUAAACUCGUUAUCUGGUGGGUAUGUUAGUUACCUUUAUCAUUUAAUUAAAUUAUAAUCACUAACUAAACUUGUAGAGGCUAUAGUGGAAUGCUUUUCGGACACGAGUUCGAAUCUCGUCAGCUCCACCA